rnacentral:sRNA from 1 species
AACAAGCAGUCUAAACAUCCAAGGUCUUGGGCUAGAAUCUACAAAUCUCUGAAAUUAGUUGGUUCAAACAUUUCAUCAAACACUUAUUAGGGGGAGAAAGUCUAAAAUCAAUUUUCAA